GGACGCUUUUGCGGUUUCGGCCGCAAGGGAGUGGCGGACGGGUGAGUAGCGCGUGGGAACCUGCCCCUUUGUGGGGGAUAACCGAGGGAAACUUCGGCUAAUACCGCAUGCGCCCCCGGAGUUGAUCCGGGGGGAAAGAUUUAUCGCAGAGGGAGGGGCCCGCGUCGGAUUAGGUAGUUGGUGGGGUAACGGCCUACCAAGCCUGUGAUCCGUAGCUGGUCUGAGAGGAUGAUCAGCCACAUUGGGACUGAGACACGGCCCAAACUCCUACGGGAGGCAGCAGUGGGGAAUAUUGGACAAUGGGGGCAACCCUGAUCCAGCCAUGCCGCGUGAGUGAUGAAGGCCCUAGGGUUGUAAAGCUCUUUUGUGCGGGAAGAUAAUGACGGUACCGCAAGAAUAAGCCCCGGCUAACUUCGUG
rnacentral:rRNA from 1 species